rnacentral:rRNA from 1 species
CCUACGGGAGGCAGCAGUGGGGGAUAUUGGGCAAUGGGCGCAAGCCUGACCCAGCAACGCCGCGUGAAGGAAGAAGGCUUUCGGGUUGUAAACUUCUGUUCUCAGGGACGAAGAAAGUGACGGUCCCUGAGGAAUACGCCACGGCUAACUACGUGCCAGCAGCCGCGGUAAUACGUAGGGAGCGAGCGUUGUUCGGAAUUACUGGGUGUAAGGGGAGCGUAGGCGGGAGGGAAAGUUGAAUGUUAAAUCUACCGGCUUAACUGGUAGCUGCGUUCAAAACUUCUUGUCUUGAGUGAAGUAGAGGCAGGCGGAAUUCCUAGUGUAGCGGUGAAAUGCGUAGAUAUUAGGAGGAACACCAGUGGCGAAGGCGGCCUGCUGGGCUUUAACUGACGCUGAGGCUCGAAAGCGUGGGGAGCAAACAGGAUUAGAUACCCUUGUAGUC